UACGUGCCAGCAGCCGCGGUAAUACGUAGGGUGCAAGCGUUAUCCGGAAUUAUUGGGCGUAAAGAGCUCGUAGGCGGUUUGUCGCGUCUGCUGUGAAAACUGGGGGCUCAACCCCCAGCCUGCAGUGGGUACGGGCAGACUAGAGUGCGGUAGGGGAGAUUGGAAUUCCUGGUGUAGCGGUGGAAUGCGCAGAUAUCAGGAGGAACACCGAUGGCGAAGGCAGAUCUCUGGGCCGUAACUGACGCUGAGGAGCGAAAGGGUGGGGAGCAAACAGGCUUAGAUACCCUGGUAGUCCACCCCGUAAACGUUGGGAACUAGUUGUGGGGUCCAUUCCACGGAUUCCGUGACGCAGCUAACGCAUUAAGUUCCCCGCCUGGGGAGUACGGCCGCAAGGCUAAAACUCAAAGGAAUUGACGGGGACCCGCACAAGCGGCGGAGCAUGCGGAUUAAUUCGAUGCAACGCGAAGAACCUUACCAAGGCUUGACAUAUACGAGAACGGGCCAGAAAUGGUCAACUCUUUGGACACUCGUAAACAGGUGGUGCAUGGUUGUCGUCAGCUCGUGUCGUGAGAUGUUGGGUUAAGUCCCGCAACGAGCGCAACCCUCGUUCUAUGUUGCCAGCACGUAAUGGUGGGAACUCAUGGGAUACUGCCGGGGUCAACUCGGAGGAAGGUGGGGAUGACGUCAAAUCAUCAUGCCCCUUAUGUCUUGGGCUUCACGCAUGCUACAAUGGCCGGUACAAAGGGCUGCAAUACCGUAAGGUGGAGCGAAUCCCAAAAAGCCGGUCCCAGUUCGGAUUGAGGUCUGCAACUCGACCUCAUGAAGUCGGAGUCGCUAGUAAUCGCAGAUCAGCAACGCUGCGGUGAAUACGUUCCCGGGUCUUGUACACACCGCCCGUCAAGUCAUGAAAGUCGGUAACACCUGAAGCCGGUGGCCCAACCCUUGUGGAGGGAGCCGUCGAAGGUG
rnacentral:rRNA from 1 species